GGAAAUAUGACGUGCCCUGCAUAUGGACAACGCUGGCCAGGUGUGUUUACCUGAAGCACACCUGUAGUUGAAGUGCUGCUACUCACCACCAGGGGGCGAGAGCGGGGCAACGGACACACCAUGAAGAAUAAAAGGAUUGACCCCGAAGUUUGUUUCACUUGGGUAAUAUUUUAUUUACUCAUUUAGAUCUUCAAAACUAUUUUUUCCAUAAUAAAUUUCCACUUUAUGUUCAUCAAAGAACUGUAACAAUAAAAAUAAAAGUAAAUACUGUAGAAAAAUUUUACAUAUAGAAAAUUAACAUGGUUAAUGGACACCUACAUGUUGAGAACCCUCUGUCGGGUCCCUCGGACGCCUCCCUCUUCUCCAGAUGGCAAAACAACAGAUACAAUAAGACGAGAAUUAAGAUACAGAGGCGUGGAGGGGGGGGGGGGGAGUCAGACAGGGAGGGAGCAACGGGGAGGAGGCAAAACAAGAGGAGGGGGGGGGUCACGGAGAAGGAACACGCAAGAAAUAACCCGACUCCUUUUGACGGCACACUUUGAGGUUCCACGCACGAGUCCUUUUUUUGUCUCUCUCUCUCUCGCGCGGUUGGCUCUGCUUCUGAUUUGCAUGCAUCUGAUUGGUCGGUCGUAUCCCUUGACCCUCCUUGAUUUUUUUCAUUUUUUUUGGUUUUGUUUCUGUCCAUGGCACAAUAUAUCAUAUACAGGCGUCUCAUGUGGGGUACGACUUGUAAAAGAGACGGGGGGUCCGAGCGGAGAAAGAGGGGGCGCAGGAGCCGGCGACCCGGGGGGGGUGGGGGGUGCGGUGGAUCCCUCCUACAUGUCCGUCUGGGAUUGGUCAGCAUGUUAGUCAUAGUAUCAGUACAGACAACACAAUCAACCAAUAGCGGGGAGACAACAUGGGGUCGUCAUGGUGACAGAGAGAAGGGAGAGCCAAUGGGAAUGAGUAAAAAAAAAAACAUAAAAAAAGCAACUCAGGUAUUCAUAGAACCGAUGGCGUCAUAAACUUGACUUUUCUAUCUAGUUGCAACACAUGAUAACAUUUACUGAGUUUUUUUAGUAAUUCCUUUUCCUCGGUGGCGGUUUGCUAUAAAACGUGGUCGAGAGGAGCAGUAUAAGUGGCCAUGCCCCCACCCCUCACCCCGUCCACCCACACACACACAUAAACACACACACACACACACACACUCCACCCCCCAUCCUUCCAGCCCCUCCACUCUGGCAUACGGCACCCUGGAGGAUCAUUUGUGUGACUCGCUGCCGUUGGGUUUGAUCAUGUCCCCGCUCUGCCAUCAUCACCCCGGAAGCCAUAUUGUCAGUGGGGGGGGGGAGAGAGGGGACUCAGUAGAAAUCACAUCAUGGAGUUAAGAUAAUUCACGUGCAAUAACACCCUCCCCACCCCCCCCCACUUAUCGCCCCGAACAUGUCUCCGCCUCCCGAUUAGUUCUUCACAUUAGUCACCACCACCGCCGCCGCCGCCGCCAUCAUCAUCCUCCUCAUCAUCUUCUUCUUCCUCAUCAUCAGCCAUGAGGCGCCAGAGCCCUCGGGCCGCUGUGCGUUCCCGUCUCCGGGGAAACGGGUCUGUACUGUAUAGCGUUGCAGGGACACGUGUGUGUGUUGUCUGGCCAUGAGAGUGUGCGACUGUGUGUGUGUCUGUGUGUGUGUGUUACCGUCGGCGGCAGCAUUCUGAGUCUCCCCCCCCCCCAGGAAGUCAUCUCCAUGUCGGUUCAGUUCACGGUGAUGACAUCACUGUGGGGGGGGGGGCACUGGGAGGGGGGGUGGUGACAAUGUUCCCAGCAAACCACUCUGUUCAUGUUACCACGGCAACCAGGUGGCCUCCACCCCUCCUUCCCGCCACAAUGUCCGCACAACGUGCGCGCCGCUAUGCUAGUGUGUGUGCGUGUGCGUUUGUCUCUCUGCGAGGAUACAUGUGUGUGUGUGUGAGUGUGUGCGUCUGUGUGUGUGUCUCUGUGUGUCUGUGCGUCUCCAAGGAGAGGGAGGCGACCACUCAAAGAGUCGCUGGGUGUAACGCUCGGUGCUUUGUCUGAUCUUGUGCGGCGCGUUCUCGGACACGCAAAAACACAAAGCAGCUGUGCGCUUCAAAAGCAUCCCCCCCCACCCCACCCCUCCCCAAAGCCGUGCCACGCCCCUCCGGCGGCAAAGACGCGUCCCCCUCCCCUCCCCCCCACUCCCAUGUGAAACGGAGCCCGGUGCUUUUGACGACGGCUCGCCGCUCGUCUGAUUCGUCCUCUUCUUCUUCUUCAUAAAAAGGAAGCAGUGAGCGGCCGGGUGCCCUCUCUGAUUGGUUGAUCUGGUUAAUACUGUACAUGGACACGGCGGGAGGCCGCCCGCGACGUUUGUGCUUGCAGGAGCGUCGCCACCUGCGUGGGAAUUCUGUUUCUCCGGGUUGUGUAUGCGCGUGGUUGUGUGUGUGUGUGUGUGUAUGUGUGUGUUUGUGCGUUUUGACACUGUGUCCUGGACGCCGAGUCGGUCGUCACGGUUGGCGUUGCGUGUGCGCGGUAAACAGCAGGGCCUCCCCGUUUGUGUCUGUAUUUCAUCUGCCUGUUUGUGCGUGUGUGUGUGCGUGUGUGCGUGUGUGUGCGUCGGGAGUACCGCGUUUUUCCCCCUCUUUUUCUGGAGUAUACCUGUUCGUAUGUACAUAUACCGUAUAUAUAUCUAUAUAUAUAUAUCUAUAAAGGUUUAUGCGUAUGUGUGUGCAUAUACAAACCCCCCCUCCUCC
ensembl:lncRNA